rnacentral:misc_RNA from 1 species
AACCAUUCUCACCUGCGGCUAGACCUGCGGAAGGAUCAUUACCGAGUUUACAACUCCCAAACCCCUGUGAACAUACCUAUACGUUGCCUCGGCGGAUCAGCCCGCGCCCUGUAAAAAGGGACGGCCCGCCCGAGGACCCCUAAACUCUGUUUUUAGUGGAACUUCUGAGUAAAACAAACAAAUAAAUCAAAACUUUCAGCAACGGAUCU